rnacentral:rRNA from 1 species
GAGAUUCCGUAGGUGAGCACGAGGACACAUAAACCGUGAGUAAUUUUUGUCGAAACUUGAAAAAAAAAUACAAAACUUUCAACAACGGAUCUCUUGGUUCUCGCAUCGAUGAAGAGCGCAGCGAAAUGCGAUACCUAGUGUGAAUUGCAGCCAUCGUGAAUCAUCGAGUUCUUGAACGCACAUUGCGCCCGUCGGUAUUCCGGCGGGCAUGCCUGUCUGAGCGUCGUUUCCUUCUUGGAACUUUUGUUAAAGAAAGAUCCAGAGCUGGCCGUGCCACUGGCCCGGCCGAAAAGAAACGUUGCGGACGAAGCGAACUACAUCGGGACGCUUUGGCCGCCGAGCGAAAAUAUAUCAUUGAGCUCGACCUCAGAUCAGGUAGGAGUACCCGCUGAACUUAAGCAUAUCAAUAAGCGGAGGAAAAAA